AAUUUCUCUCUCUCCAAUUUCUCUCGACCCCUCCAUUUCACUUUCCCAGCUCCGCCGUAUUUUUCUCCUGAGGGUGUGAAAUGGCAGCUACAUCAGCAACUACUCUAUCAGUUGGCUCAACCACAUCUCUUGGUUGCAAAGGGAGCUCAAUAUCACAAUCAAAAGCCUUUGGUGUGAAAUUCAACUCCAAAAACAACAUUAGGAGUUUCAGUGGUUUGAAGGCUGCGACAACUGUAAGCUGUGAAUCAGAAUCGUCCUUUAUUGGUAAAGAAAGUCUUGCUGCCCUUAAACAAUCUAUUACUCCAAAGGCCCAAAAAGGAAACAGGGGAUAUGUUAGUUGUGUUCAGCCUCAAGCAUCUUACAAAGUGGCUAUUCUUGGAGCGAGUGGUGGUAUUGGCCAACCUUUGGCUCUUUUGGUCAAGAUGUCACCACUAGUUUCAGAGCUGAACCUUUAUGAUAUAGCUAAUGUCAAAGGAGUUGCAGCUGAUCUCAGUCACUGCAACACUCCCUCCCAAGUUUCAGAUUUCACUGGAGCAUCUGAAUUGGCUAACUGCUUGAAAGGUGUAAAUGUGGUGGUCAUACCUGCUGGUGUUCCAAGAAAGCCAGGUAUGACACGUGAUGACCUGUUCAACAUUAACGCAAACAUUGUGAAGACAUUGGUUGAGGCUGUUGCUGAUAACUGCCCGGAUGCAUUUAUCCACAUCAUUAGCAAUCCAGUCAACUCCACAGUGCCAAUUGCAGCAGAGGUGUUGAAGCGAAAGGGUGUUUAUGAUCCGAAAAAACUUUUUGGAGUUACCACCCUAGAUGUAGUUAGGGCAAACACAUUUGUUGCUCAGAAGAAAAACUUGAGGCUUAUAGACGUAGAUGUGCCAGUUGUAGGUGGCCAUGCUGGUAUUACCAUUUUGCCUUUGUUAUCAAAGACAAAACCAUCAACUACUUUCACUGACGAAGAAGUACAGGAGCUAACUGUGAGGAUUCAAAAUGCUGGCACUGAAGUUGUGGAGGCAAAGGCUGGUGCAGGGUCUGCUACACUUUCCAUGGCUUAUGCUGCUGCAAGAUUUGUUGAGUCCUCUCUCCGUGCACUUGAUGGAGAUAGUGAUGUCUAUGAGUGUGCUUUUGUGCAGUCUGACAUAUCAGAGCUUCCAUUCUUUGCGUCAAGGAUUAAAAUAGGAAAGAAUGGGGUUGAGGCUUUGAUUUCAUCUGACCUUCAAGGACUGUCUGAGUAUGAACAGAAAGCUCUGGAUGCUUUAAAGCCAGAAUUGAAGUCUAGCAUUGAGAAGGGUACAGGUUUUGUUCAGAAAGAACCUGUAGCUGCUUAGGAUAAUACAAGCUGAAGAAACGAUGACAGGAAUAAAGCAAUUUAGCAAAAUUCACGUUGAUCAACAUAUUCCAGUUUUGCAGUUGAGUUGAAAGGUGCUUCUGUUACGGAGUAACAAACAAUAGGAUGUAGAAUUGUAUCUCCUUUCUGGUAUUGGUAUGUAACUCUCAAGUGACGAUGUUGAGGCACUCUUGUCAUGUUCCUUUUUUU
rnacentral:misc_RNA from 1 species